rnacentral:rRNA from 1 species
GACGAACGCUGGCGGCGUGCUUAACACAUGCAAGUCGAGCGGUAAGGCCUUUCGGGGUACACGAGCGGCGAACGGGUGAGUAACACGUGGGUGACCUGCCUUUAGCUUCGGGAUAAGCCUGGGAAACCGGGUCUAAUACCGGAUAUGACCUCAUGUCGCAUGGUGUGGGGUGGAAAGUUCUUCGGCUAGAGAUGGGCCUGCGGCCUAUCAGCUUGUUGGUGGGGUGAUGGCCUACCAAGGCGACGACGGGUAGCCGGCCUGAGAGGGCGACCGGCCACACUGGGACUGAGAUACGGCCCAGACUCCUACGGGAGGCAGCAGUGGGGAAUAUUGCGCAAUGGGCGGAAGCCUGACGCAGCGACGCCGCGUGGGGAUGACGGCCUCGGUCGUAACGACCGUCGUCG